rnacentral:rRNA from 1 species
ACUGCUCAGUAACACGUGGACAACCUGCCCUUUAGGUUGGGUAUAAACCCGGGAAACUGGGUAUAAUACCCGAUAGGUCUCGAUUGCUGGAAUGCAUCGAGAUUUAAAGCUCCGGCGCCUAAGGAUGGGUCUGCGGCCUAUCAGGUAGUAGUGGGUGUAGCGUACCUACUAGCCUACGACGGGUACGGGUUGUGAGAGCAAGAGCCCGGAGAUGGAUUCUGAGACACGAAUCCAGGCCCUACGGGGUGCAGCAGGCGCGAAAACUUUACAAUGCUGGCAACAGCGAUAAGGGAACCUCGAGUGCCAGGUUACAAAUCUGGCUGUCGAGAUGCCUAAAAAGCAUUUCAUAGCAAGGGCCGGGCAAGACCGGUGCCAGCCGCCGCGGUAACACCGGCGGCUCGAGUGGUAACCGUUAUUAUUGGGUCUAAAGGGUCUGUAGCCGGCCGGAUAAGUCUCUUGAGAAAUCUGGCAGCUUAACUGUCAGGCUUUCAGGAGAUACUGUCUGGCUCGAGGCCGGGAGAGGUGAGAGGUACUUCAGGGGUAGGGGUGAAAUCUUGUAAUCCUUGAAGGACCACCAGUGGCGAAGGCGUCUCACCAGAACGGACCUGACGGCAAGGGACGAAAGCUAGGGGCACGAACCGGAUUAGAUACCCGGGUAGUCCUAGCCGUAAACGAUACUCGCUAGGUGUCGGCCACGGUGCGACCGUUGUCGGUGCUGUAGGGAAGCCGUGAAGCGAGCCACCUGGGAAGUACGGCCGCAAGGCUGAAACUUAAAGGAAUUGGCGGGGGAGCAC